rnacentral:rRNA from 1 species
GCAGGCUUAAUACAUGCAAGUCGUGGGGCAGCGCAGUGUAGCAAUACAUGGGCGGCGACCGGCAAACGGGUGCGGAACACGUACACAACCUUCCUACAAGUGGGGAAUAGCCCAGAGAAAUUUGGAUUAAUACCCCGUAACAUAUAAAGAUGGCAUCAUUUUUAUAUUAUAGCUACGGCGCUUGUUGAUGGGUGUGCGGCUGAUUAGGUAGUUGGCGGGGUAAUGGCCCACCAAGCCUGCGAUCAGUAGCUGAUGUGAGAGCAUGAUCAGCCACACGGGCACUGAGACACGGGCCCGACUCCUACGGGAGGCAGCAGUAAGGAAUAUUGGACAAUGGGCGCAAGCCUGAUCCAGCCAUGCCGCGUGAAGGAUUAAGGUCCUCUGGAUUGUAAACUUCUUUUAUAAGGGACGAAAAAAGGGAAUUCUUUCUCACUUGACGGUACCUUAUGAAUAAGCACCGGCUAACUCCGUGCCAGCAGCCGCGGUAAUACGGAGGGUGCAAGCGUUAUCCGGAUUCACUGGGUUUAAAGGGUGCGUAGGCGGGUAUUUAAGUCAGUGGUGAAAUCCUAGAGCUUAACUCUAGAACUGCCAUUGAUACUAUUUAUCUUGAAUAUUGUGGAGGUAAGCGGAAUAUGUCAUGUAGCGGUGAAAUGCUUAGAUAUGGCAUAGAACACCUAUUGCGAAGGCAGCUUACUACGCAUAUAUUGACGCCGAGGCACGAAAGCGUGGGGACCAAACAGGAUUAGAUACCCUGGUAGUCCACGCCCUAAACGAUGGAUACCCGACAUACGCGAUACACUGUGUGUGUCUGAGCGAAAGCAUUAAGUAUCCCACCUGGGGAAGU